rnacentral:rRNA from 1 species
CCUACGGGAGGCAGCAGUGGGGAAUAUUGGACAAUGGGCGGAAGCCUGAUCCAGCAACGCCGCGUGAGGGAUGACGGCCUUCGGGUUGUAAACCUCUUUCAGCAGGGACGAAGCGCAAGUGACGGUACCUGCAGAAGAAGCACCGGCCAACUACGUGCCAGCAGCCGCGGUAAU